rnacentral:lncRNA from 1 species
AAGCACAAGUAUUUAACAUCAUCACAACAUAAGCAUAUCCAUACAUAGUUCAUCACAUUACAUAAAAUGGUUCAAGUUCACAUACAUAAGUUUAUAGAGUUUUGCAGCAGAAAGUUCUAUCAUUGCUCUCAUCAUACGCUACAACACAACACAAAAUAAGAAGGUUAACACUAUAUGCCGAUAGUGCCCUUCCUAUAGCCAUGGCCAUCACUUCUUACCCGCACCUCCGUCCGCGGGGUAGAAGUACCCAAAGAUAGCCUCCGGCUGCGGAUCACCUGCAACAACUUAACGGCGGCACCGUGAGUAAAAAAGGUACUUAGCAAGACUUAUCCAAAUAUGGCUAUAUACUUGCCCAACUCUCAAGAAGAAUACAUUUGGUUAAGUAGCAAGGAGUGGCAUAGGUGAUUAAUUUGCAUAAAAGCAUCUAAAUUUUGAUCAAGUUAUAAUAAGCAAAAUACAUAACAUUAUAUGAUCUCUAAGUCAAGCAUCAAAUAAUUGCAAUAAGUAAAUGUAAUCAUGAACAUGAGUUCAAUUUUUCAUGAACUCCAUUCGAUAACUCUACUAUGAAAGCGGGGUAUCAAGAGCUUGCUCAAUGACCGAGAGCGCAGCUAUUGCAAUAGAUUAUACCCAUGCAGGGGUGUACAACUUUUCCCACACGAGACGCAAGACCGACCAUACCCCAGUCGAGGAUAAGUGUUGAUUCAUACCCCCGACCAUUCGCAUACCCACACCCGACUAUGAGCGAACGGCCGAAAGUGUAUAGGUGCACCGGACACGGCCGAUCACACCUCAUCCCACUCCGCGCCGAAUCCGAUCAAGGCAAAGUGCGACUUAUGCUACUCGGCUUGCCAUUCCUAUAUUAAGCAUGUGGUUUGCAUGUAAAAAGUGCUCAAGAACUCAGCAACAAAGUCGUGGUACUUAAUCAACUCAAACAAGUCUAAGUCAAGUGAUGUCCAAUCUCAAUAUGACCCGACCAUACUUGCUCAAGUUCGAUUUUCAUCUUUAAUAGCUGCUCAAGUUUUAAUCCAUUCAUGGCUACUCAAGUAUUAAUUAAGCAAGCAACCUAUAACUCGCGAGUGGUGGUGACCUUGCCACCUCUCGACUUCUACUGAAGCUAAGCAUGUAUAAGCAAUUAAUUUCGUGACACCUACACAAGCAUACUUACCUAGAAGAGUUGUUCUAAUUCAAGGAUGGAUAAUGCAUUAAGUAGGAGCUAAGCAACAAAUACAUAAAUAGUAACUUAUGCGCAUAUAAGACACAUAUACAUCAUUGAUCCAAAAUAGGGUUAAAAGGAUGCUUAGUUGCCUGCCUUGGUUCACAAAGGAGGCAUUGUCGGCAACGGGCUCCAGCUCGAGCUCACCCACCUCUUGCUCCGACGUCUCGGUCUCUACACGAAUGAAAUGGUGCAUAAUUAACAACAAUGCUCGAAGAUGGUGCAAAUGAUGUAUGAGAUGCAUGGAAAAGAAGGUUCAAAGCAUAUAUUACGUGAUAGAACACUUAAAUCCUACACAAAAUAAGGAUAUAUUCACGUUUCCCCUCAAAGGCAGAAUUGUAAAUAACUCGUCAAGUUGCCGAAAAUGGUAUUGCCGAUGAUUCCGGCGACCGAUUGCAGUGGGGUUUGAUCUAAAGCUUCCUUAGAUGAUGGGAAUUCAGUUUAGAUGAUGGGAAUUCAGAUUAGAUGAUGGUGGACGCAGAAAAGGAGCAGCCUAGGGUUAAAGGCUUCGACACCACUCUCAUGCUGGUCUCCUGGACGAUAUGGAAGGAGCAGAACAACAGGACUUUUGCCAGGAGAUAGGAACAAUCGCCUCAACAACUCCUCGCCGUGAUACAGGAGGAAGUAGCAAACUGGUUUGCUGCAGGAGCACGAUGCCUGGCGAUGGCUGGCUGGAACUUCGGAGCAGAUGUUUCAUAGCACCUAGGUGAACAAUUUGGAGUUGCUAGCUGAUAGGUGGAGUGUAUGUUUAAUAAUGUAAUAAUUAUCAACUCAAAUCCGUGUACGUGCGCCCGGUGAAUGACCCGCGUGGUAACUAAACAUCUAUUUUUUCCUCUUAAUUGAAUGAUACACGGCUCUCCUGCGUAUUCUAGAAAAAAAGUCAUAGCAACGACAUGCACGGAGGUUUGGACGAAAUGCAAUAUCAAUGAAGUCAAGCUCCCGUGGAAGGUUAAUGAAGGAGCUUCCAAUGAAGAAGAGAGGAGGGGGAAAAUCAUAGGGGAGCCUCACUUAGGAUGGGGAAGGACGAUGCAGAAAGUUACAAGUUGGAGUAGAGCGGCGGUGAAGG